AGAUAGUUUUAUUUGCAUUGUAAUUGUGAAAACUCAAUUUAUAGUUUUAUAUCGGAUAUUGUGGGAGAGUGUUAGGAACUUAUAUAUAAUGGAUACUGUGAGAUCCCAGAUAGUUCUAUAUAUAAGAUAUAAUAGAGCUACAACUUUUAACCGAGCUAUAGUAAAUUGGGCCGUGGUUAAGUCCAAAAGAUUUAAAAAGUUAAGUGUUUUAGAACUGGAGUAGUUCUAGAAUGGAUGAUCCUUCUGGAAAGUGAGACGAGUCUAACAUUGCCAGGUGGCUGUGAGUUUCUAAACGCGGCUAUAGCAUUUUGGACGGUGGCUAUACUUAAGAGAUUAAUUAAGAGAGUUAAUCAUGUUAGGGCUAGAGUAGUCCUAGGAUGGGUGACCCCCUUAGAAAGUUGGGACUUUACAGUUAAUAUCAGAGACAAUUACCAACUGAAAAUAUAAGAUGAGUCUCAGUUGAGUCAAAUUUAUACAGUGGGGAGAGUAAAACUCUUAUGCUGAUGACUGUUGUCAGUAGAGCGUGGCUUCACCAUAAGGUCGAUUAAGACUAGCGAGACGAGUUUCACAUCACCUGAUACUUAUAAGUCUGAACCUGACGAGUACGUCAGUACUUAAAGGGGGGAGAAUUAAUGUAAGACCCCAGAUAGUCUUAUAUAUAAGAUAUAACAAAAUUAAAACUCUUAACUCAGCUAUAGCAUGUUGGACGGUGGUUAGACGCAUGAAAAGAAGGUUAAGCGUACCAGAAGUUGAGUAGUUCUAGGAUGGAUGACCCCUCUGGGAUGUGGGGUGUGUCAGCUAAAGCUAAUGAGACGAGUCUUACAUUGCCAGAUGUUUGUGAAUGUUUAAAUCUAGUAAUAAUAUUUUGGGCGGUAGUUAGGCUCAAAAGGUUAAAAGAGUUAAACGUGUGGGGGCUGGAGUAGUUCUAAAAUGGGUGAUUCCCUGAAAAGCGGGGUGUCACAUAUAUAUGAUGGACACAUUAAUAAUACUAACUGGAUUUAAGCAUUUUGGAUCGAUGUUUCAGGCUUAACGAGUUAUUAGUUUUAGCAGGUUAGGUUCUGACGACUUUGAACUAUAAAUGCGAUUAGAUUGACGAGGUCCGUAGCACAGUAGUCUGAUGAUCUUGAACUAUAUAUGUGAUUGGAGUGAUGAGGUUUGUGGCACAUUGGAAUCAAUAAUUGAGCUUAAAAAUUUUGGACUAAUAGUUUGGACUCAACGAGUUAUUACGUUAGUGGACUGGAUCAUUACAGUAAUUGUAAAUGAAUAAAAUGAAUAGUGCU
rnacentral:lncRNA from 1 species